UACAGAGGGGGCAAGCGUUGUUCGGAAUUACUGGGCGUAGAGGGCGCGUAGGCGGCCCGCUAAGUCGAACGUGAAAUCCCCGAGCUCAACUCGGGAACUGCGUCCGAUACUGGCGGGCUUGAAUCCGGGAGAGGGAUGCGGAAUUCCAGGUGUAGCGGUGAAAUGCGUAGAUAUCUGGAGGAACACCGGUGGCGAAGGCGGCAUCCUGGACCGGCAUUGACGCUGAGGCGCGAAAGCCAGGGGAGCAAACGGG
rnacentral:rRNA from 1 species